ensembl:lncRNA
CUUCGGAGUUUCUUGUUGGAAAGUACUGGUGUGACCCCACUGCAAUGGGGUCAGUGCUGGCUGUGCCCUGGGCAGAGCAUCCAUAGGGAUGCAGCAGAACCCUCAGCACCAGCGGACGGAACCCUGCAAGGUGCAUCUUCCAGUGUCCUGCCAGCUGUGCCUCUGAGAAGUGACAUCCCUGCAGGAGCUCAAGCAGGGAAAUGAAGCUUCAGAAUGUCCCAUCUCCUCCUUGCGCCGUGGUUUGGCCGAAAGAAGUGAGGAUUGGGUGGGUCUGCAGGCGUUGCCACGCUGUGGGUAGGAUGGAGCUGCUGUGCUGUGUGGGGUCCUCCGGUGCCCAACCCCCUCGUGGGCCCUGGGCAGGGAUGAGCAGUGGGAGAAAACGCAUUACAAUCCCUGUUCUUAUCAGAUCCUGAGCCUGAGCAGCACUGCUGUGCGUUCCGGGCAGCGCUGCCGAUGGCUGCGGUCACAUUAACGGUGCUCCCUCCGAUAGCCUCUGCUUAACAACAGCUUCUGCUGGGAAAGAAACAAGUGUUUGCAGCACGAGCUGAGCCCGCGGAGAGGUGCUCUCAAACUGCCGGAGCUGACCUUGGUGUGAUGCGUGAGGGCUGCAAAGUGCCACCAUUCAAUGAAGGAAUCAAUCCGACCCCACUGUGAGUUGGUUUAGGAGCGCUCUCCUGCCCGUGACUGCGAAAUAAUUCUCUGCAUAGCAUUCCCAGCCCGUUCCUGUUUGGUGAUGGCUCCGACUGGGCUGGAAGGAGUGCAGGAAAAAAAAAACAAAAACAACCCAACAAAUUGGAAGAAUGAAGAGUGAGGAGGAAUUGAGGUGUCCACAGAGUUCACAGCGUGGGUGAUUGGAAGUGAUGGGGGAGAGAAAGGCAGUGAGUGCUGCUUGCGUAGCACACAGCACCGGGUCUGACUGCAGGGCUGGGGGCUGUGUGUGCCCAUACCGUACUGCCUGUGCCCAUGUACAGCACCUGGUAACAAGCAUUUGUGCUGUGUGCCCUGCUGUGCACCCAGAAGCCAUCACUGCUGUGCACCCAGAAGCCAGCACUGCCGUCCCUUGAGCUCAUCUUCACCCUCAGUGCUAUCUGCACAUCCUUCCCGACGUCGUUUCUACCUCUCGAGUUCCAUAUGUAGGAAACUGCACAGGUGAGCGAUCAGACGCAGCCGCAUGGAGGGACACCUCUGACGUCUGUCUGUGCGUGCCGUGCUGCGAGCACUGUGUGUGCAGCCAGCAGGGAGCAAUGUGUGCCCCAGGUCAGCAUGAGCCGGGGCCUCCCCGAGGCUCAGUGCUGCUAUGGGUGCUCAGCACCUGCUGGGCUGCUGUGCCAUGGGAGCUGCUGAGCGGUGUGAGCACAGCUGGGGGUUGGUGGCCCUGGGAUGGAGGCUGGCCCUGUCUGCAGGGCUCAAUGUCUGCAGCUCUGCUCUUAUCUCCGUGAGUUUCCAGGUCCUGUCUGAUAAGAUCUUGCUGCUAGAAAUGAGCUGCUGGGCCCGGUUUUGGGAUGAUUCCUUCAUUGCAAUCCCAUAAACAGGGUGGGGAAAUAACCCUCUGCUAUGCAGGGCUAUGAGGCAGAGCGAGCAAAGCACUGAAGAACAUUGCUGCACGUGUUUGGUGGUGGCUUCUGGACUGCGUUGCUGCUGCCCAUCACAGCCCCCACUGCACACACUGUGCUGUGCUCCCGAGGAGAGGGGAGAGCUGGGGCUUACAG